UUAAACGAAUCUAAUUUGGUCAUCAAGAAGUUAAUAGCAUAAAUGAGAAAAGAGAAAAGUUAUAAUUUAUAAUCAUGAUACACGACUUUUGCGCCUCUAUAAUUUUUUUCGAAAGUCUCGCGAUGCAGGUGAACGUGACGAUCUUUCUCUGAUUUUAUGCUGUUUGAUUCCGCCUGUACUUUCAUCGUGAGUACCAGUUGUCAUUUCUAUAGCUAAUAGACGAAGUUGUUAGUUUUCAUGGGCGUUUCGCUUUCAAAUGACGAGGAUAUUUUAUGCGAUAAACGAAGGAAAUGUUACUGUACAAUUUCACUCUUAGGUUUUCAAAGAGCUAAAGGAGUGUCAAGAGUGCCGAGAUUUAUUCGUGUUACAUAUUCAACACAAAAUCUUCGCUUCGCGGACAUGUGUAACCUUCUAAGAUCCUGACCGACGACGAGAUCUAUUUUCCUUGUAAGUUUCCACACCCAGUACAAUGCUGUCUUCGCUACAAUUCGAGCAACGAGGUCGCAUAAUUUUCUUGUCGGACGAUCGUUUCUACGAUGGGAUUCGAGAAAGAGAAAUGCAUCACUGCAUCCUACUGAUCGUAUAAAGAAGAAAGUGAUAUCGGGCAAGGAACGAGGCAAAACUGGUAUCGAUUGACAACUAACGAAGGCAUACACUCACCACGAAGAACAUCUGCGGGUAUCAGCCUUCGAAAGGUUUUCGGUCGUUCCUGCUCCGUAGUCCCCUCAGCGGCGACGAAAGCGACCGCAGCGCACAGCAAGAUAAACUUGACGAUGAG